GACGAACCGUGCAAACGUUGUUCGGAAUCACUGGGCUUAAAGGGCGCGUAGGCGGGCCAGCCAGUCUGUGGUGAAAGCCUCCAGCUUAACUGGAGAAGUGCCGUGGAUACUGCUGGCCUCGAGGAGGAUAGGGGCAUCUGGAACGGUCGGUGGAGCGGUGAAAUGCGUAGAUAUCAAGUGGAACACCAGUGGCGAAGGCGAGUCUCUGGACAUUUCCUGACGCUGAGGCACGAAAGCCAGGGGAGCAAACGGG
rnacentral:rRNA from 1 species